rnacentral:antisense_RNA from 1 species
GGCAGAGAGAGGAAAACACGCGCGCGCACACACGGUGAUAUCUUGCGGGUGAUGAAUAUGAUAAUUGGACAAGGGACGAGAGAACCAUUCUCUGCUUUCAAUAGGACAGAAGAGCUCCUUGGCACUGGAUGCCUCCGGGUCUGGUUGAGAGAGGAAUGGUUAGGAGACUGUUCUGAGGAUACGCAGACAUCAUCCAAAGCUUCCUACAUUCAGAUGAGGACAGAGGUUGGGCCAGAGCUUUGUAUGCUUGUUACCUAAGGAUGGUUCUGACCAUGUAAGCAGAUCACAGAAGCUAUUCACAGAUCAUCAUCAGCCAGAGGUGACUUCUGUUGCUUGCAGCUCAGAAUCCUAGAUGUUUCUGGUGGCACUGAAGAGCCUCUGCUGAAGCUCUAUACCAUUUGCCAUUUACAAAGGGAAAUGAAAUAAUAACGCUGACCAUUUGUGGAGCACAUUCUGUCUGGAGGCAAAGGAUGCCAAGAUGGGAAAGCCACAUAAUGGAAGGAUCCUGGAUUUCAGAGCUGUCACUUGGAGGAGGGGCACCCAGUGAAGGUGUCUUAUCUAACCCACACCAUAUCUUCAUGAAGUGGCCAUAUGGAUUUGAUCCCUAUCCUUCAGAGGUGCUCAGCCUAAGGGAACACGGAUAGUAGAUUAAGCACUGACCAGAGCCAGCCUUGACAAUGUGCUGUUGGCAACCU